rnacentral:tRNA from 1 species
UCUAAUGUGGCAGAAUAGUGCAAUGAGCUUAAAAUUCAUAUAUAAGUAUAUAUACUUCUUUAGAA